rnacentral:rRNA from 1 species
UACGUAGGUGACAAGCGUUUGUCCGGAUUUACUGGGCGUAAAGAGCUCGUAGGUGGUUUGUCGCGUUGUCCGUGAAAACUCACAGCUCAACUGUGGGCGUGCGGGCGAUACGGGCAGACUGGAGUACUGCAGGGGAGACUGGAAUUCCUGGUGUAGCGGUGGGAAUGACGCCAGAUAGUCAGGAGGAACACCGGUGGCGAAGGCGGGGUCUCUGGGCAGUAACUGACGCUGGAGGAGCGAAAGCCGUGGGGAGC